GGUUAUGGCUCAGUGGUAGAGCGCUCACCUAUCAUGUAUGAGGCCCUGGGUUCGAUCUUCAACACCA
rnacentral:tRNA from 1 species